rnacentral:rRNA from 1 species
CUGCUGCCUUCCGUAGGAGUUUGGGCCGUGUCUCAGUCCCAAUGUGGCCGUUCACCCUCUCAGGCCGGCUACUGAUCGUCGCUUUGGUGGGCCGUUACCCCGCCAACUGGCUAAUCAGACGCGGAUCCAUCGUAUACCACCGGAGUUUUUCACACUGCCCCAUGCGGAGCCGUGCGCUUAUGCGGUAUUAGCACCUAUUUCUAAGUGUUAUCCCCCGGUAUACGGCAGGUUAUCCACGCGUUACUCACCCGUCCGCCACUAACU